AGAGUUUGAUCCUGGCUCAGAACGAACGCUGGCGGCGUGGAUAAGACAUGCAAGUCGAGCGAGAUUUUUCGUUGUAGCAAUACGAUGGAAAGUCUAGCGGCGAACGGGUGCUUAACACGUGGGCAACCUGCCAUGAAGUGGGGGAUAGCUCGCCGAAAGGCGAAUUAAUACCGCAUGUGAUUAGAGAGGACAUCCCUUCGAAAUUAAAGUCGGGGCAACCUGACGCUUCUUGUGGGGCCCGCGGCCUAUCAGCUAGUUGGUGAGGUAACGGCUCACCAAGGCUUUGACGGGUAGCUGGUCUGAGAGGACGACCAGCCACACUGGGACUGAGACACGGCCCAGACACCUACGGGUGGCAGCAGUCGAGAAUUUUUGACAAUGGGGGAAACCCUGAUCGAGCGACGCCGCGUGGAGGAUGAAGGUCUUCGGAUUGUAAACUCCUGUCAUUGGGGAACAAGGUGCAUACGUUAACUGCGUGUGUAUUGAUAGUACCCGAAGAGGAAGGGACGGCUAACUCUGUGCCAGCAGCCGCGGUAAUACAGAGGUCUCAAGCGUUGUUCGGAUUCAUUGGGCGUAAAGGGUGCGUAGGCGGCGCGGUAAGUCGGGUGUGAAAUCUCGGAGCUUAACUCCGAAACUGCAUUCGAUACUGCCGUGCUUGAGGACUGGAGAGGAGACUGGAAUUUACGGUGUAGCGGUGAAAUGCGUAGAUAUCGUAAGGAAGACCAGUGGCGAAGGCGGGUCUCUGGACAGUUCCUGACGCUGAGGCACGAAGGUCAGGGGAGCAAACGGGAUUAGAUACCCCCGUAGUCC
rnacentral:rRNA from 1 species